rnacentral:lncRNA from 1 species
AUGGUUAUGAUGGUGAUUGUAUGAGAUUCAAAAGGUAACUUGAGCAAAGAUUUUAUUUGGCAGAUAUGUGAAAUAGCAAAAUACACCCUGGAAUUCAAUUUGUAUUUGAUUGCACAAUAGCUAAUUUCUUCAGCUACUUUUUCAGCUUCCUCUUAACACUUAUGUUUUCGCUUGUAAGUUUUUUGUUUGGAUAUAAUGAGGCUUUAUGUCUUCUUAUGCCUUAUCUUAUGUGGGUGGUAGAAAAAUCACUCUACUGCUCCAAUAUUUGUGGUUGCGUGGGGCAGGUGGUUUCACGCAGAGCAAAAUGUCUGCAGUAAAUAAAAAAUAAAGAAGAGGAAGCUUCUUUCCCUUCUUUACACAUCUGGAACCUCUGCAAAAGCCCAGACUGAAUUUCAGAGAUGGAGAGGCCCUUUGCCAGUCCUUGCAGUUUUCGGUGACCUGGAGCUGAGUUAGGUUUUUACUGUGCAGUGACGGCCAGAAUGUCCCAAAUCCCAGCUGCCUCCUGUGUUGCCUAGGGGUCCUACUUCUUUUCUCUCCUCUUGGACUUCAGGCACUGCUUUUUCCCACCCCUCCCAAGACUCAUGCAUGGAACAGGUUAGGACUAGCUCUCUGGGACUUGUGUUCAAACACAAAAUGUGGUGAGAGUCUGCAUGAGCUGAUAGUACUCUCAGAAGUGCAACUCCUUGCAUGGUGAGUGUGUUGAGCUCUUGUUCCAGGCAGAGAUGAAUCCUGGAAAUUUGUCUGCUGGGGAAAAGUAAUUCUGUCUCAAUAUUCCCUUGGAUAUCACUCUCAGACAGCUGAGGAACAGACCAGGUAUAAUACAUUCUAAUUAUAUAAUGUUUAGGUGUUGAUGCUGCCACCUAAGGAACUAGGGAUUUUAAGUCAAAAUUACCACAGCAGAUUUCUAAGGGGAGAUUUCAUCUACUUGUUAAUGGUAAGCUCCAGGACUCAGGCAUUAGGAUGUUCAUGCCAGUGAAUUUGUAGGCUUUGAGAUUAAUUCUUAGUGAAUCUACAAUUUCCUCUGAAGUUUUAGGCUAACCAAUCUGAGGCUGCUGUCACACCCUACAUCCCACCCAGAAGACCUGCUGAUCUACUGUCUGUACAUAUUAUAUCAAGGCCAAUUUCUGGAUAGCUGAAAUCAGUGAUCAGUGAUCCACCUAAGGCUCCACCCCAGGGAAGUGGUAGAGUAGCCAUCCCUGGAGGUCUUUGAGAAACUUGUAGAUGUGGCACUGAGGGACAUGAUUAGUGGAUGUGGUGGAAUGGGUUGACGGUGAGACUAGAUGAUCUUAGAGAUCUUUUUCAACCUUAAUGAUUCUAUGAUUCUUUAUUAUGUUUUAUGAUCUUUAUGGGGAGUUCCUCCUGUAGCCAGAAGGCCAUGUGCAGCUCGCCUGUCUUCACGGACCAACAGUUGUGAAGAGAAGGAAACGAAACCGAAAAUCCUCUUUUGUUCAGAGGCAAAUGAUUAACUCCUGUAAGAGCACAGCACCUUUCUCAACCAUGUGCCCACCAAUGUUGCGUCUUGCAGAUGCUUUUGUAGAGAAACAGCAAUCAUCUCCACCAAAUGUAGGCGAAAACUUAAAAUCACAGAAGAGACUGAACAUAGUUAAAAAUGAGAGCUGCAGUGGGAUGUUUCUGGGCCAGCAAUUCUCCACUCCAUGAACCUUCUGCUUCCCUUCAACAGAGAUCGGCAGCAUCAGCAACCAGACAAUUCAGAAUGGAAGGCUUUCAGGUUUAAGAUGAUGUAAACCCACAGAAAUGCAAGAUGAUUUGAACUGCGCCACAUCCAUGACAGUUGGUCGGCAGAGAUAUUAGCCAAUGAUGGUAGAAGAUACUUACGUGAAAAUGUUCGUAAGUAGGAAUGCUUAAAUAUAACUACAGUUAUUUCUUUGAGGACCAGAAAUAUAUUUAACCGGUUGCUUAAGCUAAUAUUUACAGAUGUAAGCUUCAGCAGUUAUCCCAGAGACAGGAAAAUACCUGAAAAUAGUAUCACCUUAUGCUAUUUGUUUGCUGAAUAAGUGGUUUGGUAAGAAAGAAAACUGCAAAAAUAGUAAUGGGUUUUUACCCAUUUUAAGUCUUACCAUGCUACAGUCAAUAUUACGUAAUAUCAUGGUGAAAACUUUGUUAGCAAAUUGAAAGAGCUAAAUUUUCUAUAAACUAUGGAUAAAAAAAAGUUUUUAAGUAUCUCAAAAUUUUCAAGUUAACAAGAACAGAAUAUCAGCACUUAUCCUCUUUCCUCAUUAAAACCUGGCAUCUUUCAGGUCAGACAUUCUGAAGGUACCUGCAGAACUUCAUAUUAAACUACCUGUUCUUUCCCUCUAUGUGCUGAAAGUAUUUUGCUCCUUUAGAAUUUAUAAUUACCUUAGAUAAUGACUUCUUAGGACUCAGCGUCACAAUCAUAUUACUGUAAUCUAACAAAUGACCAUGAAUCAACUGAACAGAAAUAAUGGCUUAUGUAUGUAUUCUUAGUGAUUGGCAAAUGAGACAUUUCUGACACUAAAAGAGCAUUACCUAAGAUAGUGCAAGGGGCUUAGGAUCAUGAACAUAUGGGACAUUACAUAUUGUCUCGACUUUGCUGAUGUUAGGAAUCUUUUUAAACUGUAUUCUUUUGUGGAUUGGGACCUUUGCUUGCUUAUAGCCACAGAAUCGUGGAAUGGCCGAGGUUGGAAGAGGUAUCUGGAGUCAUAUGGCCCAUCCCUGCUCCAGCGGGACAACCCAGAGCAGGGUGCCCAGGCCCACAUCCAGGUGGCUUUUGGAGAUCUCCAAAGAGGAGACCCUCUCUGUGUCCCCGUGCCAGUGCUCUGUCUCCUGUAUAGCACUGAAGUGCCUCCUGAUGGACAGGGAGAACCUCCUGUGCCCCAGUUUGCACCCGUCACCUCUUGUCCUAGCACUGGGCACCACUGACAAGAGCUUGUUCGUGUCUUCUUUGCACCUUUCAGGGUGGUCUUAUAAGCCUUUAAGAUGUAGCUCCGAAAGGUAGGCUUUACAUAAGAGCUUCAGCUAAUGUGAGAACUUUGUAAAAUCCUAAAUAAUGUCUCUGAAAUUAUGGGUAUCUGAUCUAUUUCUCUGCAGGGGAAAAAAUCUCCUAAUGACUCUGACCUUCUACUGACAGGUUUUUCUGUUGACUUGAACAUUGCGGGAGUGGCUGCUUAAAGCUGGAAAUUCCCACCCAUUUUCCACUGUCUCUCCCAGGAGACCAGCAGAUGUUUGUUAUUAACUUUUAGCAGAUAGAUUUCUUGUUGAUAACUUAGUUUACCUUUUUAUUGCACAGAGGAAGCUGGGAAAUGCAUUGUUAUGAAGCACAACCUUUAAAAAUAUCUCCAUAUCCCAGAUUUUCUGUAAUAUUUCUGAAAAACAAUGUGUUUUCAAGGAACAGAGAUGAUUGGUUGAGUUUUCAAGCAUUUUAAAAUUUUGAAAUUAAAUGUAGCUUAGUAAUUAGUAUCCUGAUCAACCGAAUCUCAGUGUACCUGAAGAUCUCUUUUGUAUUAUCUGUAAGAUACACGGCAAUCUUCCUUGCAAAAUUAUUUGAAAUUUUUAUGAACAAAUUACAAAUCUACAAAUUAAAAUUUACUGGCUUGUCUUUUCCUGUAAUCAAAUCAGAAUGGUGUUGCCAAAAGAGACUUCUAUUUGCUUGAAACAGAUCUUGCGCAGAGCCUUUUCAGCAUCUCUGGUUUCAUUUGGGACUUUUUGGCAAUUUUUGGCAAUAUUCUUGGCAAUGGAUAUGUUUCUCAAUGAAAAAUUGAAUUUUGAAGCAAACAACUGAAAAUAUUUUCUCCUAAAAUCUUUCAUGAAAAGACACAUUAUCGAAUUGAAUGUUUUCUGUGUCCAUUAAUGGUCACAGUGAAUGACACGCUGAUAAAGCAGGGAUCACAGGUUGCAUCUGUUCAUCUUGUGCGUGAUUCAAGUCAACUGCUUCAUCUCUUGCAUGUAAGGAAUCCUGAUGGCACUGAAGUUUCUUUGUGCUGUGGAAGCAUGCACUAUUAAUAGUAAUAAUUGCCUUUAGCUUUCUGACAGAGCAGUGUAUUUUCACUGUACCAAGAGAGAUGCCAUCAGCUUUCAGCAGUUUAAAUUAUAUUCAGGUUAACAGAGUCAAUGCUUUGUCCAAUUAAUGAAAUUACACUAAUGACAAAUAGCCAAAGAAGCAGCUGUAAUAUUUGAUGCCUAAUUGCUAUCCAAACCGCUUGUAAAGAACAAAUUACCGUGACUAUCCUAUUAAAAUAUAAAACUGCGUGCAUGAAGACACACAGCUAGGAGUGCUCAGUGCUAGGGAGGUUUAAGACAUGAUUGAUCUUCUCCUGCAUGUACACAAUUGUCAGUGUACGUGCAAACUGAACAUGAAUUUGAGCCCAUCUACAUCCAAGUGGUGCAUGUUCUCUGGCUAGACAAGGGGCAUAUCAAUGGUCAGUCGUGCAUAUCAGCAUAGCAGCAGUCACAUCUAACAUGUGAACUCAGUUUCUCAUCACUGUGUAGAAACAUCCUGUAGCCAAGAGGAAGAAGUGUCUCAGCAAAAACUUGGGGUGUGCUCCCUCAGAUGAGCCUUGUUUGUGCCAUACCUCAUGCUCCUGUUUUGAGUACAUCUUUUUAGGUUAAUGUCCAUGACUGUCAACUGAAGACUUGUCUGAGGUGUAACAGAAAUGGCCAAACUCUUCCCUUGGUUCCUAGGGUGUUGCAUCAUAAAUGUAAGUAAUAACAACCUGUGGCUAUCAUAAUUAAUAGGCCUACUUCUACGCUUCGAACUGAGAAGGCUCUACUGGCGCAAGGAACACCAUGCUGCUCACUAGCCGGGGAAAACCUUCAUCAAGAAACUCAUAAAUAAAUCAAUCUAUUUCCCCAGAUUACUCACCCCAAGAUAGCUCUCUGUCUUCUGAAACCUGUGAGAAAGCAAAUUGCUGAAAUGCAAGUGUUUGUGGAGAUAUGGGAUCGUUUAACACUGGUUACCACCUCGGGCACUCUGGAAAGUCUCUGUUACACAAGGUUCAUUGCAGAGAUCUGAAUAUGUGCUAAACGAGCCCUGCAUCUCUGCCUUGUAGCUCUGAGAAUGCUAGGCAAGUAAUUAAGAAAUCACACGGCACAGGUGUGCCAGGUGAAUUUUGGUAGCUUGCUUUUGAUCUAAAUUGAGAUGCUCUGGGGAUUUAACUUCUUAAACAAAAAGGGCAUAAAUAAAUAAUCAGGAUUUUUUUUUUUAAGGUUGGAACAUGCAGGCUAUAAAAUUUUAUACAAGUAGGCAAUGCGAGCAGAUUGUUUAAGGCUAGGGCAUUGUUUUAAAUGGGGGUGUUGUUUUCAUUAACUUCGGUCUGAUUAGUUUUUUCACUGGGACUUUCCCCACUGAUAUAAACAGGAACAAUAUUUGGUUGUUGGGAACUAACUCCGGAAUAAGUUAAGAGAGUGUCUUUAAAAAUAGACCUUAAAAAACCAACAAGCCACACCAAAAGUUGGAAUAUUAAUUAUAAUGCAGGAAUUACUGAGUACUUCUUUUUAAUAUUCAUAAUUGAAAAUGAGACAGCUUUAAAGAUUGUAAUGAGCGCUUCAGAGUAUCGCUCUCUACUUAGAGCAUUACUUCAUAGCUGGAAGCCAAGAAACAGACUGACAGUCAAUUCUUAAAUUAUUCCAAGCCCACACAAUAGGCUCUUGCCACAAAUUCUCGGCAUGGGGCCUAUUUUGCUACCAUGUGGGUGUGGUGAGAUUGGGAUAAACAAGAACACAACUGCCCACUUUUGAGUUUUCAUCUUCCCUUAGGUUCAGUCUUACACAGAUACUUUCAGUUAGUUUGAAAUGUUUCAGUCCUUAUCUUUUCUUCCCCAACUGCCUGAUAAACCUGAGAUCAAAACUCUUGUGAAAAGAGUUCCCGAGUUAGAAAAAAAUGUGCCAGAAAAUAGAAGUAUUGCUCUGAAAGUUCUAGCCUGUUCUAUAGUCUUCUGAAGUACGAAAGCUUUCAUAUACUUUCUCCAAACAAAAUGGGUGGCUAUCUCUGAUCUAUCAGAAUGCCCUUAAAUUACUUCUUUUGAUACCUUGGGGAAGAAAGAUAGCAGAGGUGAUGUCAUAGGGCUCCUUCCAGCCUUGCUUGUGUGAUGUCGGCUCCUCACUUCAGAAACUUAAAUGUAAGGGAGGACACACACAGGGUAGAUCUCUGGAAGGGUGCUGUUACAAAGCUCUCAAUACUACAGAUGUGUUAUAGUCAGUUUGCAAAUACUAAUUUAUUCCUGUUUUUAAGAAAAACAGGAGACCAAUUUUCACUAUGGGUUGAAACCUCUCUUCAAUGAGACUUUGGUAUUGUGUGUGAUUUACUGUUUGAAGUUCAGUACUGUGGGAAAGUUGUGAUUGCAGGGUACCAGUGCAGUGUAUGACGAAGAGAAAUAGGAAUGGUGGAAAUAGGAAUUGAUGGAGGAGUUGGUCUGUAACUCUGAAAUCCAGAGCUGAGUACAACUUGUGAUUUUGCAAAGGUUGAAUUCUGACUUGCAUCAGAUAUAGAGAAAGACUGAAGUAACAAAGAACAGUUUUUCCUCCUAUUCCAAGUACUGGACAGCUGCUUUAGCACAUCUCCAGCAGGAGUAAAAUGUGCUGUUACGUUCUUUUCUGUGUAGAGCCCUGAGGGGAAAAUUGAUGCCCCUCAAAUAGGAUCUUAUCGCUGGUUGUUGUUUUCUGCUAAAAUGUCCUCUGCACUCUGUUUAAAAGAACAAGGCUGUUCUGUCACUUCUACUCUUAGGAGACCUGGAGUGUUAAUAGGGUUUUUUCCAUUUCAUUUAUUCCAUCACUGCCUCCUGUUCUCAGUCUAAAUCUUGAGACUAAGAAUCAAAUAUUUUCACUGAAAAGCACUGAAAUUUAGGAUUUUUUUUCCCCGUGAUAUUCCAUAGAGAGGAACAUUAUCAGCUGUAGUGAAGGGAAAUUCUGCCCCUUGGUGUGACCUUUUACUCCAGUGAUUGGUGUACAGAAUUUGCCUUUCUUCCUUUUUCACUGCUCACCAAUAUUUCCCACAUCUCUUUCCCUCCAAUUAAAAUAUGAGUAAAUUAAAAUGAAAGUGGGGAUUAUUUUCAGCUAAACACUUCUAGUCUGGAUUUUUCUCCAGAUAGCGUUUUCCCCCCAGGAGCUGUUGGAUUUCUCAUGAGAACAAAGAUAUUCUGGUAUUUUGACUUUGAGGAGAUCUGAAAUAUUAAUGAUAACAUGGGAGUAAUGAGGAAAUCUGGACUGUGAAUAAACUCAGCCUGUGCUUCACUGAGGUCCCAGGUAUCAGCCCCUCCCAUAUUGUUGCAGGGAAAGGUGUGCUUCCUGCAUUGCUUCGGCUCUCACAGGGAAUAAGUAGACCACACUGAACUACGAAGACAAAAUUCUGUCACUCCAGAGUUCAAGGACUGCUUUCUUUUAAGCACACUUCAAUAAGAAUGUCUUCUCAUGUCACAAUGAAAAUAAGAGAAUUUGGUGAAAGCACUUGGAUGACCUCCGUGAAAUGAAUUGGGUAUGGGACGUGUUGCCUCCUCUUCACAAGAGGUCUCAUGGUUGAGCAUCUUCUCCUCACUGAAAAGGUUAAAGCAGCCAUUCAAAUGUGCUCAUGUGUAUUGCAACUGUCCCCACUGUAAAAGUAGGCAACCAGAGAGUUUAGCCUUGCAGCCCCAUUCAGGGAGAAAUGCAAGGACAGACAAAGCCUGUUCCAUAGGUAGCUCACACAGAUUUCCAAAUGCAGUUAAUUAGGGCCAUGGAUGAUAGGCUCCCAGAAAUGAAACAAUCAAUGUCAAUGUCUACUUUCAACAUGCAGCUCAAGCAUCAUGUUGGAUCAUAUUCGUACUAAGAUCCUUCACCUUGUCAUGUUGGUCUAUUACUGCAGUGGCAACAUAUUAAUUACUAGGGAAAUUAAUUUUCUUGUCCUGCUUCAACAAUGAGGACCCUGUGGACUCUCCUUGGUUUCCAGACUUGUUAUCUCUUACAAGAGUGAUAUACUCAGCAUUUGAAGUUAAUUCUCCCAUUUUAAAGGUAAGAAAUUGAAACUCAGAUAUGUUAUACAAGUUCACACUUCCAUCAUAGCAUUAAUUCAAGACGCUAUUUCCCCCAAACAAAGUGCUAUUUCAACAAUUGCAUAUGCUGCAUUUAGUUUAGAACUUGUUUAUGAGUCAUAGUUAUAAGCAUAUGUAAUAAAGAGCCUGACUCUAGGAUCUAUGGCUACUCAACAUUUGCAGGCAUAUCUGAAUGUUACAGAGAUAGCAAGCAUGGUUAUAAAAAUAUUUGUGCAGUAUGAAAUAUUAAUGAACACCAUUUAAUUGUUUAAAAAAUGCAAAAAAAUUAAUCAUUUGAUAUUUUCACGAGUAUCUGUUUUUACUUUUGAGUAGGCUCUAUCACAAGAGGGCUCCUUUUGUUUAUUACAUAGGCAAAUUUGCUACUUGGUAAAAUAAUAACCAAAUAAACAAAAAUACAAAACAAAGAAGCCAACAGGUAUGGUGCUGACUUAUAGCCAGAUCUGCCCCAGGUAUUUUCUUCUGUUUUGAAAAUGAAAGCUUAAUCUAAUUAGAUCUUGGAGGAAAAUAGUUGUGAUAUGUUUUCUGUAGGUAAAAGGACAUGCUUAAUGUACUUUAUUUAUGUUACUGAUUUUACAGUAAGUAAUAAAAUUUAUUUAUUAAUAAAAUGCAUAGAAUCUGUUUGAAAAUGGCUUUUUAAUGAAGUAUAAGCUUUAUUAGACAUAGGUUAAUAAAACACAGCAUUACAAUAAUACAGAUUUUGUCAAUAUGUGAAACAUGGGAGCAUAAAUUGACCUCAGUCCUGCUGCAUAUGGCUAUUGAUUUUGGUUACAAACCAGGAACUAUGUCUUGUGUUUAUUUGUUUCUACACUGUAUCUGAAAAGAUUUUCCUCCUCCCUCCAUCAAAACACUUCCAUAUUUUACCACUUUCCGGUGGAAAUGACAGCAGUAAAGAUUUGCAAACCACGUGAGAAAGGACACAAUUUCUUGAUCAUUAAUAUAUUAAAUAGGGACUGAAAGGCUCACCAUGCUUGUUUGGACAUCCCAACAUUGCUGAGAUUUCCAUAUGAUUUCACAAAUGGACUGAAAGAAGAUGGACAAGCGCUGGGAGAGGGCCAGUUGUUAUGUGCCAUUUGAUUCCAUUAUUUCCUUGCCAGUCAACCAAAACCUUUGUACAGAUAGUGAAAAAGGGAAUAUUGCACUAUAGUCUCUUUGGAUACUGCAUAACAUGAAAGAGGAUGAGCUCCUCCAAGCCUCCGACACCAAGAGCUGCGGGAACAUUCUUUGUGAUUUGUUUGCUGAGGAGAGUCUUACAUAGAUCAUAGCAUCAGCACAUGCCAUCCCCUGGAACCAAAGCGUUGUUUUAGAUGACUUCUAGACAUACCUGUGAGUACUUCUGAACAUUUCAGAGUGUAAAUGAUUCUGUUAGUGCACUGUUUAUUGGCUACCUCUUGUAACUCUUACAUAACCCAUAAUAAAGUAGUGGGCUAGGCUGUCUAGUGAAACAAUACAAUGUGACAAUUAGCAUCAUCAUCAUCCUGCAGCAGAACACUCUUACCUAAUAUGACAGGUCUGAAAAGAAUUAAGCAGCUCUUUCCAUCAAGGGUUUGUGAAUGUAGUAAAGAGUUUUCUGCAGCUGUUAAGUGGUGUGCUAUAUCUUAUAGAGAACUAUAGUAUAUAUAUAUAUAUAUAUAUAUAAUGUCAGCCGCUGGGCGUUAGUUAGAUUAAUGUCCUCUCCUUAACAUGAACGCAUGGAAGGUAGACCAUGUGAUUAUGCAGCUAUGGUAAUUAUCCUUCAAAGAGUUGGAAGGCUUUGACGUAACCUCUGUGUCCCAAAUUUGUUCGUUCCAGUACUCGCUAGAGGGAAGAAUAAGGACUUGAAUCUGCAAGCCUUUCCCAUGUGACAAUCUGGUAUUGCGCCUUAUAGAAUCUGGCAAAACUGUAAAUGACAGGAACCUUUUUAAGAACUAAAUGACUUAGCAGAGACUUUUUUUUCCCCUGAUAAAUAAAUUCUCUGAUAUGCUGUUCAAACAUGCAGGGACAUGCAUGAACCGCUGUAAGUACUCCAAUUUAUAACUGCUUUGCAACAGGCCACAACAAGCUAGAAUCAUCUUUUAAGUAUUUAAUUUUUCUGUUUUGUUUUGUUUUUUUUUUUUUUUGUACAUCUUUACAGCAUGUUAGAAUGCACCUUGUAAUAAAGCAAUUUCUCCACAGUAUAUUAGUAAUCAGUAAUUAUUCUUCAGAGUUCUGUCUGCAGUGCAGUGCCUCUUGACUGGAAAUGUGAAGGCUGAAUUUGUUGCCUCACAGCUUGCCUGUGAGAGUAUCCAUUCCACUACUCACAAAGACAAGAGACAUCCAGCAUACAGUAACCCUUCAAUUAUUUCAGUUAUUUUGAUCUGACUAGGUGUUCAGUCCAUAUUAACUAUACAGUCAACAUUUCAACUUAUAUCAAGUUUUCACUGUUUUUGGUUGCAGUAGAUAUUCUUGUCAAGAAGGGAGUCAUUUGAAUCAUUAGAAAUGAGUAGAAACACAGGCUUUUUAGUCUAGACCCGAUACUCGUGGUGGAAGACUAGUUCUUGGCUGGUUAGUUCAUGCCUAAGUCCUGCCAGUCCUUUAGGGCAGGAUUAUCACAUGAAUUUGGAUAUAAAGGUAUUCAAACACUUUCCUAUAAAGGAUUUUCCUGAGGAUACUACUCAUAGUGGGAGCCUCAACCCACUGCUUUCCAUGCCCAGGAGCCUUGUUUCAGUCCUGCCUGGUGCUGGUUGUCUUGCUUUGGCAAUGUUGCAGGAGAACUGCCCUACAGCAGUGUCUCUGGGCCCACCUCCUUCUGCUCAUGGCAGGUUGAUGGCUUGCUGUGUUGGGGGCUGCCAGUGGAUGAUGUUAUCAGCCCUGGCUCUACCACUGCCUCAGCCCCAGUGGAACUGUACCACCAAGGAAGGCCUGGCUCAACAGUCUCAGUGGGUCACAAGCACCUAAAUUUUAUUAUAUUGUCUAUGAACUAUCUCUAUUUCUAGGAAGAAUAACAAGAGCAGUGCUGAGAUAGAACCACUGAUGUUAGAUUUGUUGGUAGGGACAAAAAGAUUUUUUUUCCCCUCUGUCUAUGCCUGUGUAUAUUUCUAGAUCUAGCUUGUACUUCUUGUCACUCUGAGGAUCAUCAGAUUUUUUCAUGUAAUUCAAGUGGAGCUUUGCCAAGAAAAAUUGUUAAUUUUAGAUUCUAAUUUUCAAUAAGAACAGGUAAGGCAGGACACCUAUGAAUCAGUUGAUAUGGAUAUUUACCCAAUAAGGAUAUACUAUUUAACAUGAGGUCAUACCAAACCCAGACACAACUUCUUUUUUCCUGUUCAGAUAUUCUUCCCAGCUGCCAGCAGACAAAGUCUCAUCCCUUUGUACACUGGAGGUACUGUGAACUAGUGCGAGUGUCAAACUGCAUUGUAUACAUUCAAAGAGAAAAAUGUUACAUUUUCAAGAUCAAUGGAGAUCAUCUACUUUCAUGAUGCAUUGCUCUCACUAACAGUGAUGUACGGGAAGCACCUGAGAGUCAAUCUGGAAACUUCGUUGGCCAGGACACAACAAUAUCUCUUGGUUGUUGCUGCAUGGUCUGGCAGCUGUUGCUGCUAAUCUGGUUAUCAGGGCCUGCAGGUGUAUCUGUAUUUACACAACUGGCUUCUAAGGACCUACAUUUAUCAAGUCAUGAUUUAUACUCUACAGAUUGCUUUUUUUUCUUGCAUUCUUUUUAUUGAACAGUGAGGACAAGACAGGAUAAGGAAAGCUUGGCUUUAUUUUCAUGUAGGCUCAAGACUUAUUAAAUUCUCCUGCAUCAGUUUGCUUUCCUACAAGUGUCCCUGUCUUUGCUGAAAUGAGUUGCCAUGGAGAGCUGGCAGCAGCAUGGUUUAGGUACUGCACACAUCUGUAUAAUCCACCUGAGCACACUGGGUGCAUGCCAUGUAUUACUGCUGAAUGUGGACAGAGAGGAUUUCUUAUUUGGGUUCAACAGCCUAUGAAUACAGAUCUGGCUUCAUGACCUGGCAUGGCGUCUCCUCCUGGCGCUGCACUGAGCUGGGAGCUGGGGAUCUCUGCUAACAGAACAGACAUGCCCACUUUAGUACGUGCAGGUUGCAUCCAGAUGGGUGAACUUUCUGGCUUUCAUUUGAUGCUUUUCUCCCCUAGAUCAUAGGGAAGGUGGGUCUGGCAGACAGUGCCCUGAGCAGUGGUUUAUUUGAAGAGUCUCCAGGGUAUACAAACGAAUACUCACCUCCUCUUGGGAUAAGAAAUGAAGUUACUGCAUGUAAUUUCAAAUGCCCAUAAGUUUUCAGUGGGAAGGUGACUCUGAAGAAUGUAGUUUGGGUUUAUCAGGCUUAAUUCUGUAUCUGUCAACUCCAUUAAUAACGGGCUCUUUCUUCUCUUUCCUCUGAAGGCAUCUUGCUUAAACUGUAAGGUCAGGAGUGUCAUUCUGGUGCUGUGCCAUUAAACUCCCUGCCAACACUUCCACUGGCUUUAUUAGGUACCUCCCACUCCACAAAUCACUUCAUCUGGAUUUCCAGGAGAAAUAGUGCUUCUUGGAAUGACUGAGUUAUUCUAUGAAGUCGUGAUAUUUGUCAUGUGAAAUAAUUGUCCAGAGAUAUUGUCUUUUUAUUGGAUUUUUUUUUUAAGAUUAGUUUUUGUUCUUGAUGAUAACCUCGGUUGCCCUGUGAUAUGACCAAAGGUUUCUUGGCAGCUAGGUGUCUUUCAUAUUACUGUAAGUCACCUAUAAAUGUUUUGAUGGGAGUGCAUAUUCAUGAUCAUGAUGAAUGAAACUGAAAUUUUAGUUCUCUGUUGGCCUCCAAAUGUUCUUCUUUCUCUGUCCCUUCUUGGACCUGUCGUUAUGGCUUUUGCUGUUGGCAACCAAGCAGAAUGAUAAUGGGGAGUCUUCCAAAUAUAAAUGUUCAUAAAAAUGAGGCAACAGUAGCCAAGUACCACCAAGAAGAAAAAAAAACACUGAGUGCUAGAAUCCACCCAAAUUCAUGACUGCUAUUCUUUUUUUAUUCAUUUUGUUUAAAUCAGAAAUUCUGUCAUUAAUACUUCACUUCCAUUAUCUUCCAGUUUAUACAGAGCUGUGCUUUAUAAAUGUAGAGGGAACUACUGAUUAUUUCUGAGAUGGAACAAAACCUUUGAGAUUAUCUGCUUGUAGUUUCUGAUGAAGAUCCCAGGGCCAGCUCACUGCAGCUUUCAGAACAACUUGGUAGCUGCUUGGUGAAAUGGGGGAAAUGUAUCCUUCUGGGUCUCUGUCAAAAGGGCAGCUACCUGGAAACUGAAGGUCAUGGAGCAGAAUUCUUUGCAUUGGAAGGGAUCACUCACCUAGCUGGAGUUUGGGAAUAUCUGAAGACCAUGAAGAGAUGACCUGGAAGGCCUAGUGAGAAUAGAAGGGACUGCAGCCUUUGGGAAACUUUGCAGCUGAUACUGUACUCCAAAUACGAUGAGCAUCAGAAGAAUGCAAGAAAUCAGCAUCAGAUGAAUGCAAGAAAUCAGCAUCAGAAUGCAAGAAAACAGAAAGGAUAAGAAGAUCAUUUUGAGAAGUUUUCAAGGAGACAACUAGAAAAUGUUGAUUUCAAAGUUAUAGUGUAAUUCGAGUCAAUGUAUGAUGGAGCAAUGUGGAAAUUAUUCCAGCUUGACGAGAUGCAAGACCUUAUAAGUAACUCUACAAAAAUUAGAAUUAUUGGACGAGAAAAGCACCUCAAUGAUACAUUGCACUUCAGUGGCUUCAAGGGUCCCUGGAUGAAGCCAUUUAGCACUUGGUAUGUUUUGGAAACUUAGGUAUGGAGCAUUCCUGAAAGAGUCUGAACUCAGAUGCCAGACAGGUCCCUCAUGUUUCCAGCUUCUCUGAGUCUACAUAGUUUGGCAAUAAAUGGGGAACUGAGAGUGGCUCUGAUAACAGAACAAGUUCAGAAACUUAACGUUCUCUCAGACCUGAAACCAUGACAACUGACAUUGCUGACAUCCUUUUCACAAGUCCUAUUGCACUCUGUUAUCUUCAGCUUCUAACUCUGCUUUGAGAGAAACGUCUUUAUUUGAGGAGCUUAAAACAGCCUCAGGUCUUCAGGACUGUGGCCCUGUUUUCCAACGAGGAUGUGGGAGCUGUAAGGGCCAGUGAGAGACUUACUGCUAAUGGACACAUUACCUUUACAAUCCUGGAGUAUAUUGUUAUUCAGAUAACAGGAAAUACUCAUCAAUACUGCUUAAGGUCUGAAAAAGUAAAAAGGACAACCUAGCUGAUGUAACUACUCAAUUACAGUUAAGAUUUAGAUACAUUAACACAGGAAACAUUAAUUAAUGUGACUUCACUGACAGUGUCUUCAAGCUUUAACAAUGACUUCUAGCUGCUAAUGUUAUAGUUUUACAAGAUGUUAAUGCAAUUCUAAACAUUUUUUGAAGAAUAAGGCAGCUUGAGAGGAAGGGUGUAAAAUCUUUGAUUCUCUUCACCUUAAUAUUUAAAGAAUAAAACCAUUCUGGAAUAACAUCUUCAGAAGAGAACCCUCAAAUAUACAGACAAUCUUAUAAAACACAGAGUUUAUGGUAAAAAAUUAUGGAAAUAUAGAAAAUCAAGUCUGACAGGGAAAACAUGUUUGUGAACAGUUGGAACUGUUCUCCUGAGUGUCACUUUUAAUGAUAGUUCAUAGUCAUUGAGGCCAUUAAGAUUGGAAAAGACCUCCAAGAUCAAGCACAACCAUCCACCUACCACCAAUAUUUCCUCACUAAACCAUGUUCCUCAGUACAACAUCUAAACAUUUCUUGAACACCUCCAUGGACAGUGACUCCACCACCACCCUGGGCAGCCCAUUCCAGUGCCUGAUCACUCUUUCAGAGAAGAAAUUUUCCCUAAUAUCCAACGUGAAUCUCCCCUGGCGCAACUCCAGUUCUCUCCCCAAUCCCACUUGGAAGAGGAACAGUGAAUGAAUGACUGUGUGGUGCUUUGCCACUUGCUGGGUUAAACCACAACAGUAAGGCAAUCUUUUAAUUCAAUAUAUGCAACACUUAGUGCAGUAAGAUCUUGUUUAAUGGAUCUUUGGCAUUAUGUUACCAUCAUUUUUCUUACUGAAAUUUAACUUGAUCAAAUUCAUAGUGAAGUGGAAUGAAAUCUUCCCAGCUCACAAAACAUUACAGUAGUUAGAACAACUGCAGUUCUCAUCUGUUACAUUCUAGCCUUAUACCAGUGUAUUAAUGUAAAGGUAUAUUUCCCUAUAAGAUGAACCUCAAGAGGACCUAAAUUGCAUUUUUAUCAAAUAAUUUUGAAACAAUUGGAGGAUUGCUGGAAGAGUUCUUAAGUUACAGGAUGUUCUAUCCUCUCUUGCAGGCAGGUCAAGUCAUAGCACAUCCUGAAGCUGGUUCUGCUCUGACAGCAUGCCUGCAUGCCAUGCAAUGGCCUUGGUGGAGAAACAGUGCUGUGUCAGAAGGAGCUGUUGAUUCAUCAUGAUUAAAAAAUGAUCUUCAGAAUUCUUGGAAAAUGGAUGAAAUAUCCAUUAUAGAUUUUAUGAGUACUGUCUUUAACAUGAAAGCUUUUUAAAUUGACCAUGAUUCAUACUAAUAAAUGAAUAUACCUUAAAAAAAAAUAGAAUCUAGAAUACAGGACUGCAGAGAACAACUCAAAACCUACAGUGACUUUUUGAGUUACUCUGUGGUGAAGAAGUAAGUAGAGAAAGACAAGUUGAUGAAUUAGGCCAAAUACUUUGCACCUUUAACAUCUACUGAAAUGGAUGGGGGCUGAAGAUUCAUACAGCAUCUUGCACAUCAAGGCUUUGUUACCACUAUUAGGUCCUUUCCCAUUAUGAAAACUACCUACGAGACCAUCCUUGAUGUCUGAUGUGCCUUGAUGGGCAGAACUGGAAGAGGGACAGAACUGUGCUUCUGACUCCUGUUUACUCCAUACUGCAUGAUUGUUACGUUCAUGAACCUGGUUUGGCAAUCACUGUAAAGGAGGAAAUAGUAAUCAUGUAAUUUCUUCAUAUACUGGAAAAAAAUACAAGAAAUAAGGCUGAGCUGUUUUUAAACAACCAAAGAACUAUUUGGAAAAUAAUUACAAAGCAAUAAAUGGGCAUACGUGAGGCAUAUAUAUCAAGACAGUGAAAGACAGGAAGUAGGAAAUGACAUUUUUCCUGGCCUAAUGUAUGAUAAUAAUUACAAGAAAUUGCAAUUUAGAGAAAACACAUUUCUUUUUGCUCCUAUCUGUAUUUUGGUAAAUUACUGUUCUCUGUUGUGACAGAAAAUUAAUUGCUACUGUGGCUGUUGAUUGCUUCUUAAUGACAUUGUAAUACACAGCUUUUUGGUUCAAUGUUAUUCUCAAUUCAAAUAUCUUUGUAAAUAUCAUAUACGGACUAUCUUGUAAGUAUGAUAUGAUUCAAGUUAUGCUUGUAAAACCUCCACUUAAAAUGAAUCUCCAUGUGACAGGUAAUUGGCUGCGGGCCUUUUUUUUGUUAUUGAUUUAACUUAAUGCCAAUGUACACAGGUGUGUUGGCGGGUUGUUCAAGCUUCCAAGGCACCCACAUUUGGCAGGACAAUUAAUUGUUGCAUAAUAAGAUUAUUUUCCCCCUUCAGUCCUGAAUCUUUUCAAAAGUUGUAUUUUAAACCUUUGUAGGUAUGUAUGUGGGUGAGAGAAAAAUACCCAACAAUGUUACCAUGAGGCAUGUUUCGAUUUAUUGUUUGAGGUGCUCAAGGAAACAGCAACAUAUAGAUAAGAUAUCUGCAAAUAUAUAUUUGCCAACUGAAGUGGAAAAAAAGAACAAAAAGCUUUAUAUAAUCAGGCUUUUACAUGCUAUAUAAAAUUCUAUAUUGCUAUCAGACAAAAUUGCUUAUUUUAGACAGAAAUACUACACUGAAAAUAUUAGCUGUCCGGUCUGCUUUACAUGUAGAUAGGAGAUACAAUUUGCCCUUGGACACAGAAAUAUCUGCAUCACAGACGCCCAGCGAAGGACUCAUUUGAAUACUUUGAGCAAAAUCCUGGCUCUGUUGAAGUUGAUGGGAAUUUUGCCAUUAACUUUGGUUGGACUUCAGUUUGCUUCUCCAGUGUGUAGUAAGGUAUUCAUCCCUGAGGAGUACACAGGGUAAUCUGGAGAAAGUGAACAACGCCACAGGAGUAACAGCUGGCCCAAAUUCUAGGGAGAGCAGUGACCUUAGAGGAAAAGAAGAGGCAGCACUGCUGUGGGAAUGCAUUGUAUGGAGAGGUGGGAGGAGAUUUCAUGAAAGGAUGUACAAGAUUGUUCCAAGCAUAGCAGGUAGCAUGACUGAACGUGUAAAAUCAAGAGCUGAAGAAAACACUUCUACUUUCACAAGCCCUAAGAAAUGAAUGAAGAAUGAAAAGUGUUGUGUCCAAACUUUGGAAGAGCUGGUUCUGUGAAAAGCUGUGUGAUGGCUCUUCUUUUACCCAGGUGUUUAUCUUGGGCUUGGUUCAAAAGCAAGGAUUUGUUUUGCCUUCCAGAUUUAUCCACUAAAUUGUGUUUCAUGGGGUCAUGCAAUCAGCUGUCCUCUCAUAAGAAAAAGGCCACAGCUGAGGAAACCAGGCCAGUUCAGGACUGCAGAGCCUUUGCCUGAGUGACUCUGAGAAGCUGCAUUGCACCUGAGUGGAAAAUCACUCUCCCAGGCCGAGGGAUGAUUUUUUAUCCUGGUGCUUUUUUUUCUAAAAAAACUAUCCUGUCAAGCUGUGACUUAGGUUAAAAUCAUUGGCACCACAGACAAGAAGUUGUCUGCUUCCAUAUAGAAGAGCAGAUGAUACACAUUCUGUAAAAAUCCAUAUAAAAUAUUUAUCAAAAUCUCAUUGCCCUGGAUGCCUACCAGAGACAAUCUGAAAAUUAAAUAAUUACUGUUUAACUUUCUCUUUAGACACCCAAACACUUUAUUCUGCAGUAUAUGGCAAUGGAGUAAAACAUACCAAAAUAAAACUUUGUUGACAUAGAGCUUUGUUUUAAUUUAAAGGGCUCUCAGAAGUCCAGACUGCUCAGAAAUAAUCCCAUUUUUUCUUGGCUGACUUCAACAGCUGACAGACACUGAUACAGAAGAUGAGAUGCAUGUAUGUGUGAAAGAUGGUAAUGGUAAUGGUUUGCUCUCCACCAGCAGAAAUUAAAGCCCAGUCAGUAUUUUCAGAUUGCUUAUUAACCCUGUUAGAUUGGUUUGGGAGAAGAACCAUCCCACAUGGAAAAUGCUCCCAGCUGCUGUGAGCACAGUGCAGUAGAAGCAGGUACUGCCAUGUGUGCUACUGCAGACAGUGGUAAGCCCCCUCCCUUCCCCUAUGCUUAAAAACAAAACAAGACAAAACAAAACUCAGUUUCUUCGGUGUACACAAGAGAAUGUUUGGCAUUUGCUACUACUGAGCAGCAUUCUUGCCGUGUUUUGCUAUCUGUCAAAUGGCAUGCUCAUCCUCUGCCAAGAAAAAUACUUGUUUCCAAUACUAAUCACGCUCCCUGACUACCCUCUAGUGUAUAUUCUUCCUGGACUGCUAUCUGUCCAUGCAACAUUUGAAAGAUAUUAAAAUGAUUAUGAUGAAAUCUCUUGCUUACUGUGCUGGCAAGAGCUGGGAUAUGCUCCAGAGUCAAUGCCUGUAGUUCCCAGGGAGAAGGCAGUGCCUAAAGUUGCUUCUUACUGACUGCCUCCAUCCAUCCACAUGUAGGCAGGACAUUGUCGAGCUCUGUGUGGAGCCACAGACAGGCUCUGCUCUGGUGUAAUGUUGUUAAGGUAUGAGUUGCUGGAGAAAUGAUGAAUAAAGAGCAGUUGGUAGGUAGAUCCCAGAGCCACAAGUGAUUGUACUUAUAAAAGGAGAAGAUUGUUGUGAAAUGUGUAAUGAUACUUGAAAGGCAGUAGCUGGCAAGUCAGCAUGAAUGGUUUUCUAUUUUGCUCUUCAUUUGGUGAGAUGGAAUAAGGGUAUCCACACUGGCCCCAACUCCUCAGACUGGGGAUGAUACAACUACAAGGUGCAUCCCUACAUGGUCAGAUCAUUUUGGUAUCUCCUAAUGCUAACACCGAGACUUUCGGCCUUUGAAAUUCCUGGAAGUCUUAUGAGGAGUGACUGAGGGAACUGGGAUUGUUCAGUCUGGAGAAGGCUCAGGGGAGACCUUAUUGGUCUCUACAACUGCAUGAAAGGAGGUUGUAGUGAGGUGGGUGUCGGCCUCUUCUCCUAGGUAACAGCAGUUAGGAUGAGAGGUGAUGGCCUUAAGUUGUACCAAGGGAGGUUCAGAUUGAAUGUUAGGAAAAAAUUAUUCUCAGGAAGAGUAGUAACACAUAGGAACAGGCUGCCUAGGGAGGUGGUGGAGUCACUGUCCCUGGAAGAGUUCAGGCACUGAGGGGUAUGAUUUAGUGGGCAUGCUGGGGAUGAGUCGACAGUUGGAGCAGAUGAUCUUGGUCUCUUCCAACCUUAAUGAAUCUAUGAUUCUAGGAUAAUGAUUCUAUGAAGGAUUAGCCAGUUGUUCCUCCACCUAAGACAUAACUUUUUACUUCCCCCCCCCCCCCCAAAAAAAAAAAAAAAGUUUUUUGAUCGACAUAUUCAUAUGUCCAUUUGGCAAUUAAAUGUUCUGUUUUUAUCCUCCACAAUGUAAGAGCUGCAUCUCUUUCAGGAAUCUAAAUCUGAUUUGUGUCCCACCUUACCAACAGACUAAUUAUGACUUUAGCAACAAGUGCCCUGAGACACCUCUGCAAACUAUUGAUGCUCAGAGUUGAUCAAGGAGAAGCUAGAAGCAUCUCCACAUAUUCCUGUUGUGCGUUGCAAGCCACAGCUCAACCACCACCAUUAUGGCAAACUUCAUUUGUUUUUGCAGACAUCAGGGUGGAAUUUGUGUCAUUUCUCUUUCAGCAUCUACAGAAUAGAUAUCUACAGCUGUGCUAAUCACUCUGGGCUCUCCUUAUAGGCAAGGAAGAGAAAUAAGUGUUUUUAGGGUGCAGUUUUCCUGACCUACUGUAUACAUUUACUUAAGGAGGACGAAUCACACUCAAGAUUCCUAUGCAUAGCCUGUCUAUGUCCUCACUGACUGUACUGAUAAUCUGGGAUGAUUAGCUUAACUGCGUACCAUACGCAUGUUUAUUUACCUCUGCUUAAUUACAUAAGUGAUAUCCACUGCCCAUUACAGAGCAGGCUUUGAAUGUAGAUGAUGUAGGCAAUUUCUGCAAGUAUUAUAGCAGACUGAAGCAAGCAGUGGUGCAUCCUCUUUCCAUGAAAUGGAAGAACUGUCUUUGUUGAGAGGAGGAUACUCUAAUUCCUUCUGUUUCUCCAUGGAACAGGACCUGACUCUUCUGGAAGAAGCAAAUAGGAGACAUUGACGUUGGCAGCAGUGUGAACUGUAGGUGGAGGAGUUAAUUGAGAGGUAGUUUAGGGACAUGGCAGGUUGCACUGGCUCCCAAAUGAUUAGAGAUGGUGGGGGAUCUGGUUGGGGAUUUGCUUAAGGAUCCCACCCAACUCUGCUCCAGAGGCAUUAAACAUCCCUGUGCUACCUAAUUCCAUUCCUUCUUUGUCUCAUGGAGUGUCCUGAAACCUCCUCAUAGCCCUCACAUUCACCUCCCCUCUCUCUCUCUCCAAAACCCAAUUUCCUCUCCCCAUCCUCCAAAGUGCCCUCAACUGGUCUCUUCUAGCCUCCUUUCUUGAAAGCUCUUCUCCAUCUCCUUCAAACUGUGAGGGGUCUUCAGAUCAAAGAGCAUUAGAGGGUGUAUGGUGGCAUGCAGUUUCCUAUGUUAGCUUGUGUUUUCAUAGAAUGGCUUGGGUUGGAAGGGAUCUCAAGGAUUAUCAAGCUCCAACCCCCCUGCCACAGGCAGGGCUGCCAACCUCCACAUUUAAUACUAGACCAGGCUGUCCAAGGCCCCAUCCAACCUGGCCUUGAACACCUCCAGGGUCAGGGCAUAGACAGCCCCUCUGGGCAGCCUGUUCCAGCACCUCACCACUCUCACAGUAAGGAACUUUCCUCUUAUAUCCAACCUAAAUCUUCCCUCCUUCAACUUAAAAUCAGUUCCCCUUGUCCUGCCAUUAUCUACCCUUUCUAAGAGCUGUUUUCUCUCUCCUGUGCUUGUGUUUUAUAUUUUUCAAAGUACAUUUUUCAAAAUUUGAAUGAUGCUCACUUAAGGGAACACUUAAUAAUUUUGUUUACAGUUAGAAAUCUUAAUUAAUAAGAAAUAGCCAUAAGAAUGGCCCAGGAACUUCAAGAGAACACAUAAAAUUUCCUCUGGAGCCCAGAAUGAUGCCCAGAGAAAGGUCUCCAGUGAUGUAUUACAACACUUUUUAAACUUAAAUUGCAUAAUGAAUAUUCAUAAUACUUAUUAUAGCAUAAUUAGUGAAGUAACAAGGGUUUGAAGAUAGGAGUCUGGCAAGAUCUGUACAAGAGAAAAUGCCCCAUCCCUGGAGGUGUCCAAGGCCAGGCUGCAUGGGGCCCUGGGCAGCCUGGUCUGGUGCCUGAUUUAGUGGGUGGCAACACUGUCCAUGGCAGGGAGUUGAAACUAGAUGGUCUUUGAGGUCCCUUCCAACCCAAGCCAUUCUAUGAUUCUAUGAAGAGAAAGAAAUUUAAUUUGUUUGCCUGACUGAGGUAUGAGGGAAAGCAGACAAGCUUUAGGCAUGAGGCCUUUAGGUAAAUAGUGAUAGAGAGAUUACAACCUCCGAAUUAUGCUUAUGGAUCAUAUAAACUCCACAUGGCUGGAAUCAGAGGACACAUUUCAUAUCAAGGGAAAUUUUUAAUAGAAACAACAAGUUGGUUUUGGUUCACCUUUAUGGUUUUAAAACUGUGAGAUGAAAUAUUUUUCCUACAUCUGCAAAAUAUUUUGAAUUUUGAAAAUGUUUCUAUCUGAAGUGCAAUAAAAAGCAGGAGCUGCAAUAAGUUGAUGAGUCAAUAAUGAAUAAACACAGUGUUUUGAAUUGAAAAUUUUGGCACAUUUCAGUGCAGUUACUAUUACUGAUACAUUUUUCCUGUGGAUACACUGACAUUUAAAAACCAAUCUGUAAUGAAGGGAAAAGAAAAAAUAACAUACAUAGCAUGUGGAAACAAAAGGCUCAGAAUCAGAAUUAUUUUGCAGAAAAAUCAGGUUUGAAAAUGUAUCUUUUUCUGGACAAAAGAGUGAAAUAAAACAGUUCAUCAACAGUGCUCAUACUCACUUGCAGACCCAGCAUAUGUGUGUACCACUGACACAACACACAGUUGCCUUCUAAAUACUUAAUUAAUUGUUAGGAUGAUAGUUAAUAGUCGUCCCCAGAUUUUCAAUAACGGGACGAUCCUCCUGUCAGUGCUGCUACUGCAAAUCUUUUCUUCACCCUUGCAGUGCCCUUCCCUGUGCAACUGGGCAUUUUCAUUCCUCUAUUUAUUCCAAUGAACUACAGAGACCCUGAGCAUCUUUCUCUCUAUUAUUAUGCAGAUCUGCUUUUCUAGAUUCUUGGUAUUUUAUUUAUUGCACAAGCGUAACCCACUGGUAAUCAAUGACUACAAUUACAAGACCUUGAACACAAUGAUAGAAGAAAUAAUAUUUUAUGUUUGGCUUGAAAAUAAACAGCCCUCCAUUAGCACAUUUUGCUCACCAUGACUACUGGUGAUGAAGGAAGUCGUCCACCUUGACAUCCCUUGAACCAGGCUACAGUACCACAAGGACUAUAUACACAUUAAAAGACAACUAAUUGAUUAGGGAUCUUUUAAAAAAUUUGGGCCAGAUCCUGAAUCCCACAUGCAUCACACAUUCAAAAAAUGAUUUUCCAAAAGACUCUGAGAAUUUCUGCAAGAUGCGUAGCACAUGUCUGACCUUUUCCUGUCCCCAUGAGGUUCCAGGUCCCUCCUCACUCUCAGCCCCAUAGGCACUGGCCAUCCGAGUCCUGAUCCUGCCAGAGUCGGACUGCAGAUGUGAUGAACACUAGCUGCUGUCUUUGCCUGGUAGACAUGUCCAUCCAACACUGAAUCUUUCACAAAUUUUGCCUUCAGUAAAGAAGAGAGGAAGAAAAAUAGAAUAAGAAAUCAUGAAAACCAUUUUUAGAGGGAUUUUAAAUUUGUGCUGCGCUUUCUGAUUCAGAAUUUGAGCUGCACUCUGUGUUUCAGAUACAGUUGGACUUGUUAUUAAGACAAGCAAAGAUACAGUUGAAAAAUGCUGCUAAUAAUCUGGAUAAUUACUUUCAAAAUGAUCUACAUAAUUCCUGAAAUAGCUAAAAUAGAUACAUUCAACAUCCAUAACAAAGAAUAGUAUUCAAAGCAUUUAUAAACUAAAUACUGUUGCCACCACAGUCUCUUCAGACCUACCACCAAUUUGAUAUAUAUUUUCAGACAAGCCCAGGAAAAAUAUGAUUUGAAGGAUCCAUUAAAAGGGAAACUGCUAUUCAACUUUGGUUGUUGAUAGAGCCAUAAAAUAUAUAUUUAUAUGCAGUUUUAUAUAUACAAAAUGAAACUCACAUCCUACAGUAUCUUACUGGAGCUCAGAUGCAGCACAUGACAUAUUAUAUCUGUGGAAAUGGGAUCUAUAACCUAAUGUAUUCUUGCAUCAAAGAAUAAUGUCUCAUAAAUAAAUCAUUACAGCCUGUCACAUCUAUGGUUUCACACUGUAGUGUAUAAAAUAAUGUAUUUUGAGAUACGAGAGAAGGUGAUUAUCUAAUGUUUCAACAAAAAAAGAUUGUCCUGUGCUAAUGCAUGUGCUGUCUUAGAGGUGUUAUUGCCUUACCGCUGUUCAUUGAAGACUAAUCCAUCAUAUCAAAGGAGCGACAGCAUUUCACUUUUAAAAAACUGACACAAUUUGCACGCGGCUUUUCUCUUUCAGUAAUUAAGAAAUCAAAUAAGCCUGAGUGAAACUAUUUAAGAGGUUCUAGAUAUAAUUAGAACACCUCAUUCUCUCAUAACUAAUUCCUAAUUAAAGUAAUUUGUCUUUUUGCCCUUCUUUUCAAGGGUGAAGAGCAAGUGGUGAUGAAUGCUCAAAAUCAGGAAAAGUGAAAAUUGCAGUGUGUUGAUUUGCAGUGAUUGAGCGCGUUCCAGUUUUUAACAACCACCUUCGGCUGCAAAGCUAAAUGAAUCUCCAGCCUCUAUUUACAUUGAGAAUGUGUGAUCCAGAGCCUGACAAUUGAUAGAAUCUGGAGACAAAAGGGCUGAAGUCUGAGUCUGAGUUCAAAAGUUGCCUAUAUUAAGCUUUGCACAGGGGGAAAAAAUACAGUGAGACUGCACAGGAGAGAGAAGAAGUCUGAAAUUUGCUCCACUGGGUGAAAAUUGUCCUUUUAAAAUUUUAUUUGCAGCUGUGCCCAGAUGAUGACGGAUUUAUCAUAUGAACCAGGGAUUAGUAAACAAUGUGUACCCUAUAAAGAGCAAAACAAGUCCUUGCUCAUCACUGCACUUAAUUGCAGUGGUUAUAUCAAAGCCAUAUAAAAUUUAAUCAUCAACCACAAGUAAGAUUUUGCCUUGCAUGUGUGCUUGCUUCCCUGUUUUUCCACCUGUUUAAAUGAAAGAUUCUUGGAAUAUCACAAUAUGUAAAUAUUGUUUAUGAUGCAAAAAUAUGCUCUUUCAUCUCCUGGCUGCUUUGAUGUCGUGAUAUACAAAGCUUUUAGUGCCACCACCUACCUGACACACAAAGGUCUUAUCUGAUUCAUAAACAUGUGUGCCCAGUGCAAACAGGCUGUAUCCAAUAGAUGAUUUUUCUUUUCCUUGCAAUGUUUUUUUAACAGACAGAAAGAGAAAGAAAGUGUAAAUGACAGAACUGCUCAGGUGAAAAGAUUAUUUUAAGCAUCAGGUAAAGAUAAGCCCAUUAUGACAGAAGAAAAAGAUGUAGGUCAGUAUCGAUCCUAAGAGGUUAGUUAUAUAUAUAGUCAUCUCGUAAAAUGUGUUUUAAAAGCUGAAACUUUUUUUAAAGACUUUUGAUCCAAGUGGGAAAUAAGCAGCAAGAUCAGGUGCCCUCCUAAGACAUACAAAUAUGCCUAAUUAGCAGGAGAAGAAAGAGAAAAGCAGGAAGUGAGGUCAACACUGGAAACAGGGCAAACGGAGUCAGGGAGGGAAUAAGGUGUAGGUAAUAGUUAAAAUUUGCGGCUCAUUGGUAACAAUUUUAAACCUAAAGGAGCAGCUUAUUACAGGUUAAUCCAUGAUAUGUCUAAUUUACAGCUAUGUGUAUGUGAAUUUCUCAUAAAACAACGGGAUGGAGCUUCGGUCUGAUGGAGCCUGAAUUCUGCAAGGGGCAGCUGCUGUCUCCAGCUGAAAACACAAUACUGUUUGAGAGAAGUGUUACAACUGCUAGCAAAGGUCCUCUGGGCUUUUUAGGGCAAAUUAGGUCCCCAUACCCUCAGGGAUCCCACAGCUGUUCCCCCUGAGCACACAGAGCACCAAGAUGUGUGCUGAUGGCUGCAACAGCAGCAUAGCAGGGCUUGAUCUCAGCCACCUGAGAACAGAAUUUGGCCAUUUAAUAUCACACAAUAUCACAUAAACUGCAAGAACUUCAAGGUGUAAUGCUUCUUCUCUUUCUUCUUUCUCUCUUCUUUUUUUUUUUCCCUUUCCAUUCCUUUUUUUUUUUUUUUUUUUUUUUCUCUGUAUCCAGGAGCACCCUGGGAAAUCCUUUCGUGUUCUUUAUUUCCAUCUAAGCCCUGGCUUGCUUUGAACAGCAGAGGUAAUUGUGCGGGUGAACUUCAGAGAUUUGAAGGGAUCAAACUUGAAAGCCCCUGCCUGAAAGUGCAAGCUCCAACUGGAAUGUUGUCAGGUGCUGUGAGACGGGACGUGGCGGUGCUGCCGUCGGAGGAAUCCUUGCACAGGGACAGUCUGAACCUGCGCAGCGCUCCCUUUGCACAGCCCCUGCAGUUAGCAAGGCUCCCAUAACCCACAGCAGUGCUCAAAUGAGGCAGUACUGCCCUCUCUGAUCUAUAAAUGGGUGUGUGUGAUGAUGUGACUUGAUGAAGGUCAUCUAUGUCAGACAGUGGCAGAGGGUGAAGAAACCAUCCUGAUGUCUAUUUUCAGGUUUUCCCUGAGCAUCAGAGCAGAGAAGCCAAAGGGAUGCAGGUCUACAUCGUUUAUGAGAGCUACAUGUUCCUCUGGCUAGAAAAUCCUGGGGGAUUCAAUAAUAAUAAUAAAAAAAGAAGAAUCAGGGAAGAACUGAGAAGAAUAUAAUAGAAGUUUGCAGAUGGGGAAUUUCAGAAACCAGCAAAAUUCACGGAAGGAGAUUGUUACAAAACACAGCCUUUGCAAUGGAUUUAUACAUUCUUUUAAAUUUUACACGACAGCCAAAACACUCCAGAUACGCUUCCUCCCUCUGCCAGUUUUCCUCGAUCUUCUCUUUGAGCACAGGUGAAGUUCCUCAUGUUCCAAGACAGGGCAGGGUAUGUUCUGCUGCCAUUUCCCACACCCUUCUCAUGCCGUAUCUGACUAUCAGCACUGCUGCAAUCCAGGAAAACAGGAAACAUCAGAGCCAGUUGGAUUUUUCAACUCCUGAAUGUGUUUUGUUCAGAGUUCCUUUGGAAAAUAAUCAGGAAAACAAAAUAUGUUUUUACAAUUGUUUUUCCCCACUGGGUUUCAGACAACAGCAGCUAUAACAUGAAGUGAAAAAUAUAUUUAUUUCUUCUUCAAUCAAAAAUAUUUGGCUUGACCAAGAAAAUCUAUCUUAGUAAUCACAUACUGUGUCAAUGCCAUCCAUCUUCUUCUACAAUAGCUAUUGUCAUCGAUAGUGAAAGUUUGUUUCCUGUAGUAAGAAGCAUGGGAGAUGUCCUUUCUUGUUCCGUAUUUUGUUCUGCUUUGCCCUGUCAUAAGGCUAUUAACUACACAGUUACGUUUCAUUUUAAGAUUCUCAGUUAACACUCCCUGUCUUUACACUGCAAACUGUUUCAUCUUCUGAAUUGCGAUCUGCCAGUGGCUGAUGCUGGCAACACAGCACAACGUACAGACUUCUGAUCUCUUUUGGCCUGCAAGCUUUUCUUUCCUAACUGAUGGAUGAAAACCAAUUCCCUGUGCAAUUUGCUGAACUUUACUGUGGUUCUCAGUGCCAUUUCAAUUUAUGCCUAAUAGGUGGAGAAUCACAGAAUCACAGAAUGUCCCCGAAGAUCACUGAGCCCAUCUCCUGGCUCCACUUGGGGCUCCCUAAGAAUUAAACCAAAGACAUGUGAAUGCAAACUGAUUCAGAUGAAAUCCAUGACAGUCCUUCCACUUCCGGCCCUCUCAUAUGGGCAGACCCUUGCUUCAUUCUCACUUACUAUUGAAUAAAUAGUAUACGACUUUUGUGGAAUCAGCUAAGGAUUAGUGUUCCACACUCACACUUGUUGCCAUCCGUCUCUUUUCCAAAUUAUCCAUUUCAGCCACUGUGUGUGUUGAAGAGGUGUAAAACAUUGGUCUGAUAUGUGUGUGCUAUUACAGGAAGAAAUACAAGAGCAAACUCUCCUCUAACCCAUUUGAAUGCUUGUGAGACUGUUGGAGUUGUUGAGGUUCAAGGAAUGCCAUCUCCCAGGCUCCUCAUUGUCAUCUUCUUGGUAUCUGAACAUCUGGGGACAGCUGAGUCUGUGCAAGUUCAGUAGGAAAAGGAAAAUUAGUCAAAAGUACAUUUCUGCUCUGUAAGUGGUGUAUUUAAUUUCCAGCUAUGGAACAAAACACAAUUACCCAUGGUCCAUUUUUUCUGGGGUCAAGGCUGGCUAGAUUGUUGUAAUAAUCGUAAUAACACUCCCUCACUUGCUAUUUACCUUGGGAGCUAUUUGCUGUCCUUUGUCUGCAUCUGACUGUUGUGUAGGGACUGUGCCACAUCUUUGUGGUACAGCGUGUGUUUGGUUGCAGGGAUCUUUUGUGUCAGAAAAGGUAAACUUUGCACUCACAUAAAUUCUGUACUAGCCAGGACACAGUGAGACCUAUUCAGACUACUCACUUUCCUGAUAUAUGUAGCCACAUAAUCAUGGAAUAAAGACUCUGCAAAGUAUAUAGUGUUUUAAAGAUAAUUUGUACUACAGCAGCGCAUAGAGGAAGGGGUGCUUGGUAUGAAUUACAUAGAAAAAGUAUACUUCACCAUGACCUGGGGAUCAGUUGCAGAUUCAACUCCAGUUUGGUUUGGCCAGAUGUGCAAAAGCUAGGAGGAAGGUGUAGAAAGCACCAGUGUAACCAUGUGAAACCAGGCUUUGAAAAAUAAAGAACUGGCUCAAGAUCACAGGACAUGAUCUAUGGAAGAGAAAGAAGUUUUGCAUGUAUCUCCCGAAUUGCUCUGUAGUGUAGUAACUAGUAUUCCCUUUACUCCCUUGAUGCUAUAUGGGAUGUAAAAUAAUGCUCAGUUGCUGACCUCACAUACAGCAAACUGACCCAUUGUUUUCUAGGGAAAUUCAGCCAUGCAGAAAGGAAAUGCUCAGACAUCUAAAUAGCAAAACCAAAGCACUUAUGACCUUUUCUCCUGCCAAGAUCAAAGCAGCAACUUAUUUUCUCCUUUUUUCAAAUUUUAGUGACAUUAGCUAAUGUCACUGCUAAUGUCAACGUGCCAAGGUAUCUUGGUGCCAACUGAACAGCCAGGACUGGUAUUGCAAAGAUACUAAUGAUGUGCUGCUGCUGUCUCAAAGGGAUCCAUGCUGCCAGGCGCUUGUGAAGGACAAGGAAUAAUUUGUACUUUGCAUUGAGCCUUUCACUUGCUUGCAAAAGGUUGCCUGAGUGGAAUGGGACACACAUCAUAAGCUCAACACUUCUUUCAAAUUCCAAACAUACUUUCCUAACUCCACUUAUUACUAAAAUCAUGAUUUUAUCAUUCAAGAGCCCUAGCAAAUCAGCAGAGAAGAAUGUAAGAAAAUUCUACUACUGAGAUCCUAGCCUUGUUGUUCACAGGAAGUUAAAGCGAAACUCUUACAAGCAGAGCAGAGAUGCUUAACAGUCCUUGUGUGCUCACAAAGAAAAUAGAUUUUGUUUAUCAUUUAGAUCAAAAGAACAGGCAGAUUUUUAUUGAUUUUUGAGAUACAGCACUGAUCUUUGCCUCUGCGUCUAAUGGCUGUGAGCACUGGGUGCUACAGUAAUAGUGAGGAAAUAUAGCAAUUUUACACUGUUAAAUCUUUAUCUUGACUGUCUCUAAUUUAUCCAUCUUUAAUAAACCCCACUGCUCUGCAGCUGGUAACUAAAUCAGAGGCACAAGCACAACAUGAAGAGGACAAACUGAAGCCUUCUCCACAAGAUAUGAGGAAAGGACAUGACCUGCAAAUACACUGCCGAAAAGGCUGUGUAUAUCUUAAAUCUCAAUAAAUUGCUUAUUGUGGUGAUUUGGGAUAGCGUGGUGGCACAGCACUGAGUUUCAGCAAAGAAGGAGCUAUUCAGAUUAGCUGCUCUCCAGGGCUGUGGGCCCAGCUCCCUCAGGAUCCAAUGAAAAAAAGGAAUUUGUUCAUACAGUAUGAAUAGAGUUUCUGCAAGUGAAUCAAAAUCUAUUCAUAGUGAAUAGAAUCAUAGAAUCACUAAGGUUGGAAAAGACCACUAAAAUCUUCUAGUCCAACCAUCAACUCAUCCCCACCAUGCCCACUGAUCAUGUCCCUCAGUGUCACAUCUCCACAGUUCUGGAACACCUCCAGGGACAGUGACUACACCACCUUCCUGAGCAGCCUGUGCCACUGCAGCACCACUCCUGAGAAGAAAAUUUUCCUAAUAUCCAAUCUGAACAUCUCCUGGCACUACUUACAGCCAUUACCUCUUGACCUAUUGCUGUUACCUGGGAGAAUAGACCGACCUCCACCUCUUGUCUUGGUGGCAGUAUUUGAAUAGCUGGUCUUGCCAUUUGCUUCUUGACUUCUUUGGUUGAAAUGCCAGAAGAGACUUGUAAUCCCACUUUGUGCAGUCUAAAAUAUGACCAUAACUCUUUAUCUUCUGAAGCUACUGCAGCUACUGAAAAAGGGUAGUAAAUUACCAUCUGACAAUGGGAAAGGAAAAAUGCUGUUCUAGACUCUCUGCUUUCAAAAUGUUCUUCCUUACCUGAAAAGUUUACCUAGUUUAUUCAAUAUUCAUGCUUUUCAGACAUGAUGCCCUUGCUUCCUAUGUUCAAAUUGUAAGGAAGUAUUAUUGCCCAAUGCCAGAAACUUGCAACUAUUCUUUAAUACGCUAGGUGCACUGACAUAUUUGCACUCAGACUCUUACAUAAAUUUCAUUUUCCAUUGAAACAAAAGAUUGUACCUUUGCAGGUCAUGAGGUCACCAAAAAGCCAACUACUAUUUUGUUAAAUUAAAGAUCUGAAUUUGUUCUGCAACAGGAAGGUUUGAGGGAUUUCAUAGACAUGAAUCAACUUGGAUUUUUGAAAAUUGGGGUAUUUUUACUUCUCAUUUUACUGGCAUAACAGUGAAAGAUGUACUUCCAGAAGACAUAUUUGUAUAUCUAACUUCUCACUUUUCAUCACUGUCUAUAUGAUAACUGUGACUGCAGUUUUUUUGCACUGGUAAAAGAGAAUAUCAGUUGUGCAUCAGCUGUGCUCGUCAUAAGAGACUCUUAAGUCUUAGCCAAUGUGAAUACAGAGGAGUCUAUACUUUUGCACAGACAAAAGCUUCUGACCUUCUUUACUGGCAGAGUGAAAAUGAGUGUUAGCCUCCUUGCUCAGGCAGCAUUUCAUCCUAUGAGAUCAUUUUAGUUCCUUUUAAUAACUUGUAUUUGUUUUGUGAGGUAUUUAGGAAGCGUUGGCAGGUAGGGUGCAUGAGUGAAACUCUUUCUUAUGUUAGAGCUAUUUGGAAUAGAAGACAAUUGAGAUUAGCUGAUGACUGAGUAUUCUUAGGGAAUGAACUUCUCUCUUUGAAACUCUGAGCUCAUGUGUUACUACAUUUAACUCGCAGCUCUGUCAGGUUUACAACGGCACAGGGGCAUGCAGGGUGCACGAUGGCAGCAGCGAUGGGGGAUUCACUGGGUAACGCUGCAGGUGCACGUGUUGCUCAUGGCAGCAGCUCCAGCCAGAAAUGCUGCUUUUAUCGAGGUCAUAAAUCAUGUCAGCCCUCCUGAAUACAGUUUUUCAAAAGGGUGAAGCCAUGGCUUGUGUGCUGGAUAUUUAUCUUGCUCUUCCUAAUGCUUUCCCAAAAGCUCUCCUUGAAGGCGGUAAACAGUUCUUUUGGCCAUAAUUAGAACUAAUUGAUUGCUAGAGGGGUUUUAGACCUGUGUCAAACCAAAGGGACAGAGAUGGGAAGAGGAGGCUGAUUCCCAGGCUGUUUCCUUGGCCGUGUACGUGGGCACACAUCAUGGAAGGGAUGAGUUCUAUUGACCCAAGGCAGUGGUGCUCAGGUGUCUGGUGAGUGUGGUGGGAGCCUCUCUGUACUCUGCUGUGGCUGCAGAGACGAUGUGAGCUUUGAACACUCACUCCACGCUCUGCAAAGUGGCAAUGUGGCCCCUGCCAUCCCCGAGGCUGGGCUGAAAGCUCUGAAGUUUGCAGAGAAACAUGCUGCGUCAGGCACAACCAGGCUGGCCCCACAUAAAGUCAAUACUUGUGUGAAAACAAAUAAAAUCUUAGAGUACGAGGCAGAGGCUAAAGAAUGCCUUCACCUCUUUCCUUCAAGCAACUAUUUUGUUAACUUGAAAGACGGCAGGGGUGAUCUUACUCCAUUCUUUCUCUACAGGUCAAAUACUUGUCAUAGGAGACACCCUAGUUAAUAUUAAACUAAAAAUUAAUAGAUUAGAUAACUAUUAUAUGCUUUUAGUGCCAAUUAAUUUAAUAGCUGGUUUUUUUUGUUUUGUUUUGUUUUCUCUUUUUCUAGCAAGGUAGGUGAAUAUAGCAGCACAGUUUACUGUGUCUGUAUGAGCUCUCAGAUGGGUCUUUUGUGCUACAAUUACCACCAAUUGAUUGGACUGACACAUGUAAUCCCCUUUGGAUCACCCAACGAUAUGAUGUCAGUAAGAAGUCCUUCAAACAGACUAUUAAAAAGCACAUUAAACAUGUCCUUAUUGUAAGCUUUAUGCUAGCUUAUGCUAAAAUAACAGUGAUACAGUGGUAUUUGUUUGAAAAUGAAAGGAUUAUAUGGUCUUUGUAAAAUGAGGAAUUUAGUAUUGGGAGGGGCAGUGGGAUGGUGAUUUAUUUUUUGUUUAUGUUCUUCCGAAUCCUUUGAUAUGUCAACUUCUGUCACUAACCAUUAGGCCACUUGUAAUUUCUUGUAUCAACGAAGAUGAAAUACAUACUGCCUCCAAUAAUUUAUGUCAAAUAUUGAAGGGCAUGGAUGGUAGUGCUUAUUGUGAGAUUAUAAUGAGAAUUGAACUGGGGGCUUCAGAAAUCCAUAGGUAAUUUAUUGUUAAAGAGCACGCAUGAAUCACUCCGGCCUUUAAUUGUCAUGUGGAUGCAUUUUGCUUUCAGCUUGCGCUGGAAACAAAUUGCUGAAAUGGAAUGAUAACUCAGAAGAAAGAUUUCACCAUGACCCUUUGUACUUAUUAAUAUAGUGCCAAGAGUGUAAUGAGUGCCAUGCCUUCUCUUGGGUCAGAUUCUGGUGCGUAGUGAAAGGAAUGCCUUGAAAUUUGUAUUGCUUUUCAUGAAGAAGAAAAACAUAAACAGCAGCAUAUACACCUCGCAAGCAAGGGAUGAGAGUCAAAAAGAUUUGUGGUAUUUAUAAUACUGCACAAUAAAGGUGACCAGGGGAUUUUAUAGGAUGAUUUAACACUGAACUGUGCAAAGAAAUUAAGCCGUUCUGGAGAUUUCUUUGUAACGCACCAACAUCCUCAUCAUCCCUCUUUGCUCUGCUCUCUUUUUAUCUUACAACGUCAAGGUAACACUCCAAAGUGGUUAACCAACUGCUGUGCAUAUCUUACAUAGAUGUGCUGCUUUAGAUCAUGCUGCUGCUCCCAGAGAGAGAAAUUUCAUUGUUAACCCGAAUCUAGGUGUUUUUGUCAAAAAAAAUCAAAGCUACCAGAAAAUGGAUAUAAAUUAUUCGCAGGGUCUGGUUUUCUGACUGCUUUAAUAUCAUGUAAUCAAAGGACAGAUUACUCAAAAUUACUCCUCUUGAGUGCUUCAGUGUAGUCAUCACAGCACUUCUCUGCGACUACUUCACAGUUUCUCAUAAUGUAAGAAUUAGGGGCUACGCAGUGAAACUAGGAAACAGCAAGCUUAAAAUAUACAAAAAAAAAAAAAAGAAAGAAAAAAAAGGGGAUUUGAAAGCAUUUGAAAGCAGGAUGUGUGAUCAAAAUGAGGUACAACUUGACACAGAAAUUUAUGGAAGCCAAAAGUAUAAAGUGUAGAAGAAUUUAACAAAGUCACGAAGGAUAGAUUCUCUGGUGACUUUUAAGCUAAAUGGUCUUGAUGUGGUCACUGUUUUUAGGAGUCCAUUACCCAGAAUGACUAUGAAGAAUGAAUUACAUUUGGGAAGGAGAACUCUGAAUUUGAUCUAUCCAUUUGCUCUUCCCCUGCUGACCACUACCAGAGACAGGACUCUGGCGUAAACUGCCUUUAUGCUUUGUGGCUGCUCUUACAUCCAUAGAAAACUCUUGUAGCCAUUAUGAAUAAUGAAGUGUGUCUUUCACAGAAUCACAGAAUCGUACAGGUUGGAAGGGAGCUCUGGAGAUCAUCUAGUCCACCCUGACAACUCACCCACACCAUGCCCCCUAACCAUGCCCCUCAGUGCCACAUCUCCACAGUUCUUGAACACCUCCAGGGACGGUGACUCCACGACCUCCUUGGGCAGCCUGUGUAACUGCAGCACUGCUCUUUCUCAGAAGAAGUUUUUCCUAAUAUCCAACCUGAACCUCCACUGGCGCAACUUUACCUCUCAUGCUAUCACUAUGCUGUUACUCAGGAUAGUAAAGAGGCAGUACACGGAAGAUCUUUGAUGUUUCAUUCAAAUUAUUUAUGGAGGAGGAACUAUUUUCUAACAGAUUUUUUUUUUUUUACAUUAGUAUGCUGUAAAUUGCUUUGUCUAUGAAGAUAUCAGAGCACUUACCAAUCCAGAGUAGCUUUUCAUAGAAUACGUUCGCUACAAAUAGCUAUAGCACAGCCUAAACUGGACUGUUAGUUAAUCCCAGAUAAAAUCCAUCUCAGGUUCUCCUACAAAUAGCACAUGUUCAAGACCAAGCCCUGACACAUCAGUGAGUAAACCUCAAUAAGCUGCUUCAGGAUAGUGCCACUACAACAGCUUCAUAACACUUGCAAGUGCCAGUAAAGGAUGCCGAAGUGUUGGUUUGCCAGGACUGGAACAGAGCAGCGACCACAGGUGCUUAUUUUCCCUUUUUGUAGUUCAUCGGUGUCAUGCAACUGUUGGCUCAGUCAGCAGAUGUGUCAGCUCUUGGAAUAACAGCUACUUAUGUAGGUUAGGUACAGUGCCAAAAGGUAAGUGUUAUAAAGAGUAAAACUGUAAAGAAUUAUGAACAUAAAGCCUGUGAUAGUAAAGGUGACUCCUUAGCAUUAUGCGCCACAGCAACAUAUUUUACCAAGGGCAGGAAAAGUCAGCUUUAUUUUCACCCCGUCACAAGCCGUAAGUGCUGAGCUAUGUGCAAUUUCCUGUUGGAUUUAAAUAGACACAUUUCUGAGCCCUAAUUUUUACUCUUUUCAUCUCUAGUAAACAAAUUGCCAAUUAAUAAUUAUGAAUUGAUCUCACAUGGCACAAACCUGUGCAAAAUAAUGCAGUAUCCCACUACCAUGCUUUUGGUAGCACUGUGAGCACAUCUGUAUAGAAGUUAUAGUUCAGAAAGGAGGAAAGCCCAGCACAGGACCCAGAACAUGGUCAAGGACCAAGAGCACCUGACUCACAGGGAGAGGCUAAAGAAACGGUUUGUUUGGUCUGGCAAAGAGGAUAAGGGGUAAUGUAAUAGCACCUACUUGACAGGGAGUUACAAAAAAAUGACAUAGCCAAACCUUUCUCAAUGGUCCUAGACAAUGUAACAAGGGGCGAUGGCCACAGAGUGCAGCUUGGCAUGCUCAGGUUGGACAUUGGGAAAAAAUGCACUUGAAGAGUGUUGCAGCACUGGAACAGGUGCCCAAGAGGUUGUGGAAACUGUCCUUGGAGAACUUUAAGACUCAGUUAGAAGUUAAGCACAUCUGCAGCUGGCAAAUGUCCCAUGUCAUGUGGGAGUUGCAUGAGAGGCCUCCAGAUCUUCCUCCCAACCACCAUUUCUAUCUACUCUUUCAACUCUCUGCUUUAAUAAUUUAUACCUUAAAAGAGUGAUUUGCACCUCUGCUUUUUGCACACUCUUAAGUUGGCCUCUCAACCCUGGAGAUUUAGGGUAAGAAGUCAGUACUAUUUCUUCCUUUCAUUGUGCCUUGGAUGAAUCAAUGAAGUGGUCAUACUCAGAGGAUGUCUGCCAGGAGUGAGCAGUGUUGUGAGAAUGUGCUUGUGCUUGUGUAUAAAUCCAGCUGUCAUGCCACUAUCACUAACAGAAUGCUUCUGAUAUGCUCAGGAGCAGAACUUUAGGUGUCUGCUGCUGUCAGUCACUGGCGUGGUUAGACAGCAGUACAGUGUUCAUGGAGUUCAGAUUUUGGAUUUGGACAACUGAUGAGCUUGCUCAGCUCUGUGCUUUAGCGAGUAAUUUGGUUUAAAUUCUUAGGAAUUAAUGUUUAUGAAACCAGAUGUAACUGAGUCCCAGUGCCUUUGCUAUAUAAAUGGUCUGGGAAUUUUUUCUUUGAAGAAGAUGUAGCCUGAUCCUCUGAUCUGAAUUCCUCCACAAAGGUAGUUCGAAGCCAUCUGAAAGAUGAGCCUCUAUAUAUCCUCUCUGGAGCUUGAUGCAUUUUGGAGGCACAACUGGAGCAGAGCUUCCAGGUUCAUCUCUGAGAGGAAUCCAGCAAGCAUAUAACAAAACUUGAUGUAGGGAACUGCUUUAGCAGGGAUUGGACUAGAUGAUCUUAGAGGUCUUUUCCAGCCUUAAUGAUUCUAUGAUUCUAUGAUUUUAUCCUACCUAAACUGUCUGUAGCAAAGAUGUAACUCACCUUCCUGGGAGCACGAGAGGAAAUCCCUGCUCCUGUGUUAAUGCAGUGUAACUGAAAACAAAAUUUUCAAGAGAACAAAUUGCUGGCUGAAAUGCCCAGUAAGGGUUACCCAUCAUCACUCUUACUUCAAAAAAUAUGAGGUUCUGAUAAAGAAGGUGAGAAAGCAAUACAUUUUACAAGACAAUGCCUAAGCUGCAGUUAGCACAGAUGGAGAUAAAAUUCUCUCACUUGAAGAAGACUUUUAGAGAAGUUAUGGAUACCCCAUCCCUGGAGGUGGUCAAGGCCAGGUUGGUUGCAGCCCUGAGCAGCCUGGUCUGCUGGAUGACAACCCUGUCCAUGAUGGAGGGAUUGGAGCUUGAUGAUCUU